rnacentral:rRNA from 1 species
UACGUAGGGCGCAAGCGUUGCCCGGAAUUAUUGGGCGUAAAGAGCUCGUAGGCGGCCUGUUGCGUCCGCUGUGAAAUCCCGGGGCUCAACCCCGGGCCUGCAGUGGAUACGGGCUGGCUAGAGGCAGGCAGGGGAGAACGGAAUUCCUGGUGUAGCGGUGAAAUGCGCAGAUAUCAGGAGGAACACCAAUGGCGAAGGCAGAUCUCUGGGCCAUUACUGACGCUGAGGAGCGAAAGCGUGGGGAGCGAACAGG